CAGGAUGUGAAACAAGGCACCCUGGCUCCAGAGCACACCGUCCUCUCAACCACUGCAGAGAAGCUGGGAAAGAGACAAAUAAGUGGGUGCUUAGAGCACAAUGUGUGUGGUGUGCCAAGAGCAGCUGGGAGCCCUGGGACCCCCAGGGAACCCCAGCCCCACCUGGGCAUGGUGGGCAUGGCUGGAGGAGGCCUGCUGGCUUUGCUGGAGAGUGGGACAUGC